rnacentral:rRNA from 1 species
GACGAACGCUGGCGGCGUGCUUAACACAUGCAAGUCGAACGGAAAGGCCCUGCUUUUGUGGGGUGCUCGAGUGGCGAACGGGUGAGUAACACGUGAGUAACCUGCCCUUGACUUUGGGAUAACUUCAGGAAACUGGGGCUAAUACCGGAUAGGAGCUCCUGCUGCAUGGUGGGGGUUGGAAAGUUUCGGCGGUUGGGGAUGGACUCGCGGCUUAUCAGCUUGUUGGUGGGGUAGUGGCUUACCAAGGCUUUGACGGGUAGCCGGCCUGGGAGGGUGACCGGCCACAUUGGGACUAAGAUAGGGCCCAGACUCCUACGGGAGGCAGCAGUGGGGAAUAUGGCACAAUGGGAGGAAGCCUGAUGCAGCAACGCCGCGUGCGGGAUGACGGCCUUCGGGUUGUAAACCGCUUUCGCCUGUGACGAAGCGUGAGUGACGGUAAUGGGUAAAGAAGCACCGGCUAACUACGUG